rnacentral:rRNA from 1 species
GGGAGUACGCCGCAAGUUAAACUCAAUGAAUGACGGGGCCCGCACAAGCGUGGAGCAUGUGGUUAAUUCGAUGCAACGCGAAGAACUUACCUACUCUGACAUCCAGAGAAUUCGCUAGAGAUAGCUUAGUGCCUUCGGGAACUCUGAGACAGGUGCUGCAUGGCUGUCGUCAGCUCGUGUUGUGAAAUGUUGGGUUAAGUCCCGUAACGAGCGCAACCCCUAUCCUUAUUUGCCAGCGAGUAAUGUCGGGAACUCUAAGGAGACUGCCGGUGACAAACCGGAGGAAGGUGGGGAUGACGUCAAGUCAUCAUGGCCCUUACGAGUAGGGCUACACACGUGCUACAAUGGUCGGUACAACUGGUUGCUAACCCGCGAGGGGGCGCUAAUCCACUAAAGCCGAUCGUAGUCCGGAUCGCAGUCUGCAACUCGACUGCGUGAAGUCGGAAUCGCUAGUAAUCGCGGAUCAGAAUGCCGCGGUGAAUACGUUC